GGGGUCGCCUCACAUCUGCUGUCGGAGCAAGUUACAGCACCAGUUACGGACCUUGUGGAGGUUAUCCAGGUGGCUCUUCCUGCCCUGGGCUCUGCCAAUCAGCUGAUUGGUCUCCUCGUUAAAGCUGUCACAGGAAAUGGCCAGGAUGUC